GGACUUAUGUAAUGUACAUGUGUAUCAAUUCCGCCAGCAGUAAUUAUUCUUCCUUCACCUGCUAAUGCUUCAGUACUUGGUCCUACAAUAAAGUCAACAUCAUCCAUUGUGUAAGGAUUUCCACCUUUACCUAUUGCAAGUAUCUUUCCAUCACGUAUACCUAUAUCUGCUUUAUAUAUUCCUGUAUAAUCGAUGAUAGUUGCUCCUGUUAUUAUCAUAUCUGCAACCUGUGGAUUAUCUCUUCCUUCAAUUGCAUUCUGGCCCAUACCAUCUCU
rnacentral:sRNA from 1 species